CGGACGGGUGAGUAACGCGUGAGGAACCUGCCUUCAGUGGGGGACAACAGUUGGAAACGACUGCUAAUACCGCAUAAUGUACGGGUAUCGCAUGGUACUGGUACCAAAGAUUUAUCGCUGAGAGAUGGCCUCGCGUCUGAUUAGCUAGUUGGUAGGGUAACGGCCUACCAAGGCGACGAUCAGUAGUCGGACUGAGAGGUUGGCCCGGCCACAUUGGGACUGAGAUACGGCCCAGACUCCUACGGAAGGCAGCAG
rnacentral:rRNA from 1 species